UGGGGAAUAUUGGACAAUGGGCGAAAGCCUGAUCCAGCCAUGCCGCGUGUGUGAAGAAGGUCUUCGGAUUGUAAAGCACUUUAAGUUGGGAGGAAGGGCAGUAAGCGAAUACCUUGCUGUUUUGACGUUACCGACAGAAUAAGCACCGGCUAACUCUGUGCCAGCAGCCGCGGUAAUACAGAGGGUGCAAGCGUUAAUCGGAAUUACUGGGCGUAAAGCGCGCGUAGGUGGUUCGUUAAGUUGAAUGUGAAAGCCCCGGGCUCAACCUGGGAACUGCAUCCAAAACUGGCGAGCUAUCGUAGGGCAGAGGGUGGUGGAAUUUCCUGUGUAGCGGUGAAAUGCGUAGAUAUAGGAAGGAACACCAGUGGCGAAGGCGACCACCUGGGCUCAUACUGACACUGAGGUGCGAAAGCGUGGGGAGCAAACAGG
rnacentral:rRNA from 1 species